rnacentral:rRNA from 1 species
GAUGAACGCUGGCGGCGUGCCUAAUACAUGCAAGUCGAGCGAACGGACGAGAAGCUUGCUUCUCUGAUGUUAGCGGCGGACGGGUGAGUAACACGUGGAUAACCUACCUAUAAGACUGGGAUAACUUCGGGAAACCGGAGCUAAUACCGGAUAAUAUUUUGAACCGCAUGGUUCAAAAGUGAAAGACGGUCUUGCUGUCACUUAUAGAUGGAUCCGCGCUGCAUUAGCUAGUUGGUAAGGUAACGGCUUACCAAGGCAACGAUGCAUAGCCGACCUGAGAGGGUGAUCGGCCACACUGGAACUGAGACACGGUCCAGACUCCUACGGGAGGCAGCAGUAGGGAAUCUUCCGCAAUGGGCGAAAGCCUGACGGAGCAACGCCGCGUGAGUGAUGAAGGUCUUCGGAUCGUAAAACUCUGUUAUUAGGGAAGAACAUAUGUGUAAGUAACUGUGCACAUCUUGACGGUACCUAAUCAGAAAGCCACGGCUAACUACGUGCCAGCAGCCGCGGUAAUACGUAGGUGGCAAGCGUUAUCCCGGAUUUUAUGGCGUAAAGCGCGCGUAGGCGGUUUUUUAGUCUGAUGUGAAAGCCCACGGCUCAACCGUGGAGGGUCAUUGGAAACUGGAAAACUUGAGUGCAGAAGAGGAAAGUGGAAUUCCAUGUGUAGCGGUGAAAUGCGCAGAGAUAUGGAGGAACACCAGUGGCGAAGGCGACUUUCUGGUCUGUAACUGACGCUGAUGUGCGAAAGCGUGGGGAUCAAACAGGAUUAGAUACCCUGGUAGUCCACGCCGUAAACGAUGAGUGCUAAGUGUUAGGGGGUUUCCGCCCCUUAGUGCUGCAGCUAACGCAUUAAGCACUCCGCCUGGGGAGUACGACCGCAAGGUUGAAACUCAAAGGAAUUGACGGGGACCCGCACAAGCGGUGGAGCAUGUGGUUUAAUUCGAAGCAACGCGAAGAACCUUACCAAAUCUUGACAUCCUUUGACAACUCUAGAGAUAGAGCCUUCCCCUUCGGGGGACAAAGUGACAGGUGGUGCAUGGUUGUCGUCAGCUCGUGUCGUGAGAUGUUGGGUUAAGUCCUGCAACGAGCGCAACCCUUAAGCUUAGUUGCCAUCAUUAAGUUGGGCACUCUAAGUUGACUGCCGGUGACAAACCGGAGGAAGGUGGGGAUGACGUCAAAUCAUCAUGCCCCUUAUGAUUUGGGCUACACACGUGCUACAAUGGACAAUACAAAGGGCAGCGAAACCGCGAGGUCAAGCAAAUCCCAUAAAGUUGUUCUCAGUUCGGAUUGUAGUCUGCAACUCGACUACAUGAAGCUGGAAUCGCUAGUAAUCGUAGAUCAGCAUGCUACGGUGAAUACGUUCCCGGGUCU